AAAUCUAUUCACAUAAUUUUUUUUCAGUAAUGCUCCUGGUUAAUGUCUAGCUCUCAGCCUGUACAAGGAUCUUGUCAAAGACUGACUACAAACUGCUUCUCAGAGAAGGAGGAGUGCUCUGGAAACCUGCAGAUGAAAAGGCAAAUAGAAAGUCAGCAUGGCUGCGUCAACCACAGCUAAAGGAAUCUAUUCACAUAAAAAAAAAAAAAAUUCCAGUAAUGCUCCUGGAUGAUGUCUAUCUCUCAGCUCGUACAAGGCUAUUGCUGUAGAUUGACUGCAAGCUGCUUUUAGGAGAAAAAGAAGUGCUCCGGAAACCUGCAGAUGAAAAGAGAAUGUCAGCAUAGUCAGUAAGAAGUGCCAGUCAAAAUGUAUCUUCCACCACAUUCAAUAAGUUACCCUUUGAUAGGUGUCCUGAUAUACAGACUUGGACCUAGGAGACUUCAAUGAGAGAAAACAAUUGAUCUAUCACUGGAAUGCAAGAUUUGGGAUGGAAGAAAACUGAAGUAGCUGUUGGCAUUUGAUGAACUGGAAGCAGAGGUAAAUAAUACUUAUUCACACAAUAUUAGCAUCAGAUGCUACUCAUGCUCCUCUAAGUCUCCUUGUAUAUAAGUAAAUAUUAACAGUGGUAAAAGGAAUUUGUGAGUAUUUAAAUGAGAUCAUAUUAAUUGGAUAUAUAAUAUUAGUUGAAGAUAUUGUUGGUAAACAAAAUGUAUUGGAUAUAAUAGUUGUAUUUUAACACAUUAUAUACCAUAUAAAUGUUAAGUUAAAUAUUUACAGAAUAAUGAUAUAUUAACAGCAAAUUCUAUAAGUUCUCAAUAGACAACCUACCCAUACACACAAUGUGAAACUCUGCAUAUAAAAAAAAAACACACAUGUAUCAACACAAAACAAAAUGAUUCUACUAUGGAUACGUUUUCCAUAUUUCUUUUCUAAAAUAAUCUCCAAAUGAUAUUUCUUCACCAUUAUCAUAAUUUAUGGCAUGGUGUAUUAUGUGGAAAAUAGCUUUAUGUUAUUAGAAAUAAAUAUGCCUUUCCAUUUCAUUGUUUACCAGUUGUAUUGUGCAUAAACAUAAGAACAAGGGUGAAAAUUUACCAAAAAGUUAUAGUUCUUCAGCAUAUUAUCACAGGAAGAUUAGCAAAGGUUCAGCACUGAUAUGCAUUUGGCAGCCCAUGCUGACAAGUUAACAUCCCUGGACAAAAAUGGAGGCUGCGUUAUAGGUUCUUUUUGAUAGAUCCAGGAUUAAAGGCAAAUCAUUACUAGACAAGUUUUCUCUUUUUUAUUUAGAGGCAGAAACCAAAGAAUAAUU